GUGUUCACUUCAGCAGCACAUAUACUAAAAUUGGAACGACACAGAGAAGAUUAGCACGGGCCCUGUGCAAGGAUGGCAUGCAAAUUCGUGAAGCUUCCAGAAAAAGA
ensembl:snRNA U6 U6 spliceosomal RNA